rnacentral:rRNA from 1 species
CCUACGGGUGGCAGCAGUGGGGGAUAUUGCACAAUGGGGGAAACCCUGAUGCAGCGACGCCGCGUGAGUGAAGAAGUAUUUCGGUAUGUAAAGCUCUAUCAGCAGGGAAGAAAAUGACAGUACCUGACCAAGAAGCCCCGGCUAACUACGUGCCAGCAGCCGCGGUAAUACGGAGGAUGCGAGCGUUAUCCGGAUUUAUUGGGUUUAAAGGGUGCGUAGGCGGGCUGUUAAGUCAGCGGUCAAAUGUCGGGGCUCAACCCCGGCCUGCCGUUGAAACUGGCGGCCUCGAGUGGGCGAGAAGUAUGCGGAAUGCGUGGUGUAGCGGUGAAAUGCAUAGAUAUCACGCAGAACUCCGAUUGCGAAGGCAGCAUACCGGCGCCCGACUGACGCUGAGGCACGAAAGCGUGGGUAUCGAACAGGAUUAGAUACCCUGGUAGUC